GCAAGUCGAGCGCGAAAUCACUUCGGUGAGAGUAGAGCGGCGGACGGGUGAGUAACGCGUAGGAAUCUACCUAGUAGAAGGGGAUAGCCCGGGGAAACCCGGAUUAAUACCGUAUACCUCCUUCGGGAGAAAGAAGGCCUCUCUUUGAAGCUUUCGCUACUAGAUGAGCCUGCGUAAGAUUAGCUUGUUGGUGAGGUAAAGGCUCACCAAGGCGACGAUCUUUAGCUGGUCUGAGAGGAUGGAC
rnacentral:rRNA from 1 species